rnacentral:rRNA from 2 species
CUGAUUAGAAGCUUGCUUCUAUGACGUUAGCGGCGGACGGGUGAGUAACACGUGGGCAACCUGCCUGUAAGACUGGGAUAACUUCGGGAAACCGAAGCUAAUACCGGAUAGGAUCUUCUCCUUCAUGGGAGAUGAUUGAAAGAUGGUUUCGGCUAUCACUUACAGAUGGGCCCGCGGUGCAUUAGCUAGUUGGUGAGGUAACGGCUCACCAAGGCAACGAUGCAUAGCCGACCUGAGAGGGUGAUCGGCCACACUGGGACUGAGACACGGCCCAGACUCCUACGGGAGGCAGCAGUAGGGAAUCUUCCGCAAUGGACGAAAGUCUGACGGAGCAACGCCGCGUGAGUGAUGAAGGCUUUCGGGUCGUAAAACUCUGUUGUUAGGGAAGAACAAGUACGAGAGUAACUGCUCGUACCUUGACGGUACCUAACCAGAAAGCCACGGCUAACUACGUGCCAGCAGCCGCGGUAAUACGUAGGUGGCAAGCGUUAUCCGGAAUUAUUGGGCGUAAAGCGCGCGCAGGCGGUUUCUUAAGUCUGAUGUGAAAGCCCACGGCUCAACCGUGGAGGGUCAUUGGAAACUGGGGAACUUGAGUGCAG